rnacentral:rRNA from 1 species
AGAGUUUGAUCCUGGCUCAGGAUGAACGCUGGCGGCGUGCCUAACACAUGCAAGUCGAACGAUGAAACCGCCCUCGGGCGGACAUGAAGUGGCGAACGGGUGAGUAACACGUGACCAACCUGCCCCUUGCUCCGGGACAACCUUGGGAAACCGAGGCUAAUACCGGAUACUCCUCGCCCCCCUCCUGGGGGGCCCGGGAAAGCCAAGACUGCAAGGGAUGGGCUCGCGGCCCAUAAGGUAGUAGGCGGGGUAACGGCCCACCUAGCCCGCGAUGGGUAGCCGGGUUGAGAGACCGACCGGCCACAUUGGGACUGAGAUACGGCCCAGACUCCUACGGGAGGCAGCAGUGGGGAAUUUUGCGCAAUGGGGGAAACCCUGACGCAGCAACGCCGCGUGCGGGACGACGGCCUUCGGGUUGUAAACCGCUUUCAGCAGGGAAGAAAUUCGACGGUACCUGCAGAAGAAGCUCCGGCUAACUACGUGCCAGCAGCCGCGGUAAUACGUAGGGAGCGAGCGUUAUCCGGAUUCAUUGGGCGUAAAGAGCGCGUAGGCGGCCUCUCAAGCGGGAUCUCUAAUCCGAGGGCUCAACCCCCGGCCGGAUCCCGAACUGGGAGGCUCGAGUUCGGUAGAGGCAGGCGGAAUUCCCGGUGUAGCGGUGGAAUGCGCAGAUAUCGGGAAGAACACCGAUGGCGAAGGCAGCCUGCUGGGCCGCAACUGACGCUGAGGCGCGAAAGCUAGGGGAGCGAACAGGAUUAGAUACCCUGGUAGUCCUAGCCGUAAACGAUGGAUACUAGGUGUGGGGGGCUCCGCCCUCCGUGCCGCAGCCAACGCAUUAAGUAUCCCGCCUGGGGAGUACGGCCGCAAGGCUAAAACUCAAAGGAAUUGACGGGGGCCCGCACAAGCAGCGGAGCAUGUGGCUUAAUUCGAAGCAACGCGAAGAACCUUACCAGGGCUUGACAUGGACGUGAAGCCGGGGAAACCCGGUGGCCGAGAGGAGCGUCCGCAGGUGGUGCAU